UACGGAGGGUGCGAGCGUUGUCCGGAUUUAUUGGGUUUAAAGGGUGCGUAGGCGGCCCGUUAAGUCCGGGGUGAAAGCCCGUUGCUCAACAACGGAACUGCCCUGGAUACUGGCGGGCUUGAGUUUAGUGGAGGCCGGCGGAAUGGACCGAGUAGCGGUGAAAUGCAUAGAUACGGUCCAGAACCCCGAUUGCGAAGGCAGCUGGCAACCCUAAUACUGACGCUGAGGCACGACAGCGUGGGGAGCGAACAGG
rnacentral:rRNA from 1 species